UGUCUGUAUCUUUUUUUUUAAAUUAGUUAGUUUAGACAGUACAUAAAUACUUUUCAUUUUUUUUUUUCUUAGUUAGGCCUACGGUGAGCUAGAGUUUGCUUUUGCUGUUUUUCCACAUUAUUUCCGUUUCACGCACGAUUCCGCAUUCAUGCACGUCGGAAAUGCGUGCGUGCGUGCGUGCCUGCAAACGUGCGUGCACGCCCAAGUCCGCGCAAAAAUCAUAUCCCACCCGUUACGCGUUACGCAAUUUCAUUUUCAAUUACCUACCCCUUUCGUAAAUGUGUCGCCGAUGCCGCAAAUACCCCUUGCAUUUACUUUGUAAACGCUGUUGAAAAAGCCAACUGUCUAAAAA